rnacentral:rRNA from 1 species
CUGGCUCAGGAUGAACGCUGGCGGCGUGCUUAACGCAUGCAAGUCGAACGAAGCAACUAUCUUGCUUGCAAGAGAGUUGACUUAGUGGCGGACGGGUGAGUAACGCGUGGGUAACCUGCCUCAUACAGGGGGAUAACAGUUGGAAACGACUGCUAAGACCGCAUAACCCGCUAGUGUCGCAUGACACGGACGGAAAAUAUUUAUAGGUAUGAGAUGGGCCCGCGUCUGAUUAGCUAGUUGGUAAGGUGACGGCUUACCAAGGCGACGAUCAGUAGCCGACUUGAGAGAGUGAUCGGCCACAUUGGGACUGAGACACGGCCCAAACUCCUACGGGAGGCAGCAGUGGGGAAUAUUGGACAAUGGGGGAAACCCUGAUCCAGCCGACGCCGCGUGAGUGAAGAAGUAUUUCGGUAUGUAAAGCUCUAUCAGCAGGGAAGAUAAUGACAGUACCUGACUAAGAAGCCCCGGCUAACUACGUGCCAGCCGCCGC